rnacentral:rRNA from 1 species
CAGCAGCCGCGGUAAUACAGAGGGUGCAAGCGUUAAUCGGAAUUACUGGGCGUAAAGCGCGCGUAGGUGGUUUGUUAAGUUGGAUGUGAAAUCCCCGGGCUCAACCUGGGAACUGCAUCCAAAACUGGCAGGCUAGAGUAGGGCAGAGGGUGGUGGAAUUUCCUGUGUAGCGGUGAAAUGCGUAGAUAUAGGAAGGAACACCAGUGGCGAAGGCGACCACCUGGGCUGAUACUGACACUGAGGUGCGAAAGCGUGGGGAGCAAACAGGAUUAGAUACCCGCGUAGUCCCUGUCUCUUAUAC